UCUGAGCAAGCUGCCCUCUCCUGCUUUGUGUUCUGUGUGUGACAAGAAUUUUAUUUUUGGGAUCAUUUCAGGGACUCGAAUCUUGAAUUCAUGAGCUCCCUUCAGCAGCCCAAGAAACCAAUGCCACCUCUGUCCCCAGAAAUCUGGAGUGUCCCCCAGGAGCAGAGCCUGACCCCAAAGCACAGCCCCGUGGUGCCCCGCGAAGAGCCGGCGCCCCCGUGCUGUACUCCUCUUCCUCAGCAGCAGACGCCGGUCAUCGAGCUGCGCUCCACCUACUGCCCCGCAGCCACCAUGUCCGGGCCCCACGCCGGGCGCCACUUCUUUAGGGAAUUUGGGUGUAUCAGGGGAGACAUUUUUAUCCCACUUGAUUCAAGUCUUGCCGAAGAUCUGCAGGUCCAGAUUCCCACUCCUCACAGGCACUUCCCUGUAGAAAUCGAAGUUGAGUGCCAGGAGCCAGGAGGAGCUGGAAAAGGAGUGGACACAUCCAAAGAGACUGAAGUGUCUGGUGAGAACCUCCAGAGGAAAUCCAGCAAGGCUUUGGGUUCUUCUCCUGUGCCUGGUGAGAACCUCCAGAGGAAAUCCAGCAAGGCUUUGGGUUCUUCUCCUGUGCCUGGUGAGAACCUCCAGAGGAAAUCCAGCAAGGCUUUGGGUUCUUCUCCUGUGCCUGGUGAGAACCUCCAGAGGAAAUCCAGCAAGGCUUUGGGUUCUUCUCCUGUGCCUGGUGAGAACCUCCAGAGGAAAUCCAGCAAGGCUUUGGGUUCUUCUCCUGUGCCUGGUGAGAACCUCCAGAGGAAAUCCAGCAAGGCUUUGGGUUCUUCUCCUGUGCCUGGUGAGAACCUCCAGAGGAAAUCCAGCAAGGCUUUGGGUUCUUCUCCUGUGCCUGGUGAGAACCUCCAGAGGAAAUCCAGCAAGGCUUUGGGUUCUUCUCCUGUGCCUGGUGAGAACCUCCAGAGGAAAUCCAGCAAGGCUUUGGGUUCUUCUCCUGUGCCUGGUGAGAACCUCCAGAGGAAAUCCAGCAAGGCUUUGGGUUCUUCUCCUGUGCCUGGUGAGAACCUCCAGAGGAAAUCCAGCAAGGCUUUGGGUUCUUCUCCUGUGCCUGGUGAGAACCUCCAGAGGAAAUCCAGCAAGGCUUUGGGUUCUUCUCCUGUGCCUGGUGAGAACCUCCAGAGGAAAUCCAGCAAGGCUUUGGGUUCUUCUCCUGUGCCUGGUGAGAACCUCCAGAGGAAAUCCAGCAAGGCUUUGGGUUCUUCUCCUGUGCCUGGUGAGAACCUCCUGAGAAAAUCCAGCAAGGCCUUGGGUUCUUCUCCCAAGUUGGGUUCUUCUCCCAAGGCCAAAUUGGGUUCUUCUCCUGUGCCUGGUGAGAAUUUCCAGAGGAAAUCCAGCAAGGCCUUGGGUUCUUCUGUGCCUGGUGAGAAUUUCCAGAGGAAAUUCAGCACAGCCAAGCUGGGCUCUUCUCCCAAGCUGGGCUCUUCUCCUGUGCCUCAGCUCCAAUCCCAGCCAGGCUCCCACCCCAAACCUGUCCUGCCUCCAAUCCCACCUGGAUGGACAAACACCAACCCCUGAUGGCCACUUCCAUCUCCAUUUUUUGUCACACUCACUCUUUCUAACCCUGCUUUUCAUCUCUUUCUCAUCAAAGUCUAUCAAAAUAUUAUUGCUGAAUGCAUUUCUGAUUAACUCACUCUCAAAAAAAUAAAAUACUUAUUUAUAACUUUAUUAAAAAGCAAUUUCUGUAUUUCCCAAAGCCAGAAAUUAUUUCCCUGGGCACUCUCAGCUGGGAAAUGGUUGAGAUUUUUUCCUAACCAUGGAAUUGUAUCUUCCAUUAAUUUCUCUCUUUCUUCCCCUUCCUAUAUUAUAGAUUUAAUUGAGGUGUGGAAACACCAGGGCUUCUACUAAUAUUGUUUGUACUGUAGGACUGGUGAAUUAUUAAGAAGAGUGAUUUUGUGAAAUGCUCAGAGGGAAAUUGGGAGUGAAAAGCAGUUCUGAGUUAGGGGUUUUUUAAAAAUAAAAUGUGGUUGAAGUCACAAUUAUUUGAUUUGCAA
rnacentral:lncRNA from 12 species